AAAAUUCUAGGUGGAGUUAUGAUUAUGACAUUAUCUAUCUAUGUGUCUUGACCAAAUUACGUGCCAGCUGUCGCGGUAAUACGUAAAAGACUAGUGUUAUUCAUCUUUAAUAGGUUUAAAGAGUACCAAGACGGUUAAUAAAGCCCCUAUAGGGUACACAUUAACUAGAGUUAUAUGAAAGGGGGCUAUUAGGUACUGUUGAGUGUAGAGAUGAAAUUCUGUCAUACCAGAUGAGUGGCACGGGUCUAUGCGAAGGCAUCUCCUUAUGUAAUAACUGACGUUGUAGGACGAAGGCUCCUGAAGUGAACAGGAUUAGAUACCCCAGUAAUCUGAGCAGAAAAUGAUGAAUGUCAUAGGUUAAAUAUAAUUUGGUCUAUAAAUGAAAGUGUAAGCAUUCCACCUCAAGAGUAAUUUGGCAACAUUGGAACUGAAAUCAUUAGACCGUUUCUGAAACCAGUAGUGAAGUAUGUUGUUUAAUUUGAUGAUCCGCAAAAAACCUUACCACAAUUUGAAUAAAUAUAUUUAAAUAUUUACAAGCGUUGCACGGCUGUCUUCAGUUAAUGUCGUGAGAUUUUGGUUAGUUCCAUUAAAUUAACGUAAACCCUUACUUUAUUUAGAUAU
rnacentral:rRNA from 1 species